UAGGUGAUGCACUCACGCUCAAACGCUGCCUGUGCUCUUCAACAUGUGACACGGACGGCACAGCUUCAAGACUUCGCCAUCAUUAUAUAUUCAAGCUUACACAAUCUAUUACGGGCUGAGAGUGAAUUAACGGCACUAAACGCAACACAGACUGAACCAAGCACGUCAGACUCUUGUGUCCUCGCGUGAACGACGCGUCCGGUUUGCUGUUGACUGGAAUAAUGCUGUUAUGUCUAUAGAAAUCUAUUUUGACUGCAGUCAUUCUUGAUAACUGAAAUCAAACCAAUAAAAAUAAUCAUGUUUGUAAAAACA